rnacentral:rRNA from 1 species
GGAAUAUUGCACAAUGGGGGAAACCCUGAUGUAGCAACGCCGCGUGAGUGAAGAAGUAUUUCGGUAUGUAAAGCUCCAUCAGCAGGGAAGAAAAUGACGGUACCUGAGUAAGAAGCACCGGCUAACCACGUGCCAGCAGCCGCGGUAAUACGUAGGGGGAAAGCGUUAUCCGGAUUUACUGGGUGUAAAGGGAGCGUAGACGGCGUUGGAAGUCUGAAGUGAAAGCCCGGGGCUCAACCCCGGGACUGCUUUGGAAACUGUAAUGCUGGAGUGCUGGAGAGGCAAGCGGAAUUCCUAGUGUAGCGGUGAAAUGCGUAGAUAUUAGGAAGAACACCAGUGGCGAAGGCGGCUUGCUGGACAGUAACUGACGUUGAGGCUCGAAAGCGUGGGGAGCAAA